rnacentral:rRNA from 1 species
ACUCCUACGGGAGGCAGCAGUGGGGGAAUAUUGGACAAUGGGGGAAACCCGUGAUCCAGCGACGCCGCGUGUGUGAAGAAGGCCUGCGGGUUGUAAAGCACUUUUAGUGGGGAUGAAAUGUGCAGGGCUAACACCUCUGCAUUUUGACCUAACCCACCAGAAAAAGACACCGGCUAACUCUGUGCCAGCAGCCGCGGUAAUACAGAGGGGUGCAAGCGUUAAUCGGAAUUACUGGGCGUAAAGCGUGCGUAGACGGUUACAUAAGUCGGGGUGUGAAAGCCCCGGGGCUCAACCUGGGGAAUUGCAUUCGAGACUGCGUAGCUAGGGUGCGGAAGAGGGAAGCGGAAUUUCCGGUGUAGCGGUGAAAUGCGUAGAUAUCGGAAGGAACACCAGUGGCGAAAGCGGCUUCCUGGUCCAGCACCGACGUUCAGGCACGAAAGCGUGGGGAGCAAACAGGAUUAGAUACCCUCGGUAGGAUAGCG